rnacentral:rRNA from 1 species
GGGACGAACGCUGGCGGCGUGCCUAACACAUGCAAGUCGAACGGGACCAGGGGGCAACUCUGGUUCAGUGGCGGACGGGUGCGUAACACGUGAGGAACAUGACUUUCGGCGGGGGAUAGCCGGCCCAACGGCCGGGUAAUACCGCGUACGACCUCUCGGGGACAUCCCCGGUUGGUGAAAGCAGCAAUGCACCGAAAGAGUGCCUCGCGGCCUAUCAGCUAGUUGGUGAGGUAACGGCUCACCAAGGCGACGACGGGUAGC